AAAGAGAGGUCAGGAGCCCUGGGAUAGACACCACUAGAAGUUUAACUAUGGCUGAUGAGAUCUGCACACCAGAGGAGCCUAACAUAAAUGCGGAAAACACAAACACAGAACAGUUAGCCCCAAGAAUCGAAAAGAAGGAACAACGGACUUCUCGUCAAUCAAAGACCAAGGUGCAGAAAAACGUGAGCGUAAGAAGGACCCUUCAAAAUAAAUCAAGAAAACAAUCUCAAUCAUUCCCCUCUUAUCCAAGAGUAUCUAACAGAAGGAUAAGGCCUACAACAUUCAUCUGUUACCAUAGACUGAAAAACAAUUCAUAUAAGCACAAGCUGAGUAGUUAUAAGAAGCAAUGGAAAAUCCAACCAUUCAAAGUAACUUCCUGUGCAAACAGUAAAUGCAGAGCCUGGGCCAAAGCACUAGAACAAGCUGUGUCUAUGGAAGCAGCUAUGAAGAAACGGUCAAAGACAUAGAGACAAUUUUGAGACCGUCAUGGUAUAUGGAUGCUGAAUACAAUAAAAUCAGCAAGUUGGAAAAAG